AGCUCCAGUGGCCAAGUGAUUAGAGUGUCCACCUUGGAUGUGGGGGGUCGCAGGUUCAAAUCCUGGCUGAGUCA